AUUUAAAUAGCUCAAAUGAGAGUUUUGCAUUGAAGAUGCAAAGGUGAUUUUAUGGAUCUUUAAAUG
rnacentral:tRNA from 1 species